GGGGAUUUAGCUCAGCGGUAGAGUGCUUGCCUAGGAAGCGCAAGGCCCUGGGUUCGGUCCCCAGCCCCG
rnacentral:tRNA from 1 species